UCGGCUUCGGAGCUCGUAGAUGCAAAUGAUUUUACUUGUCCAGAGCUGCUGCCCGCCCACAGCAGCCCGGCUGAUGGUGCUGCCUCCCCCUCUGCCUCCUCCUCCCCUCCCCACGCCUGCGCGCACACUCGCACCCCGUGGGCUGCUCGUUUUGGAAUCACUACGGCCCCUGCUGAACGAGCAAAGGCUGGACUGCUGGCACACACCUCAAGCCUGAGGCUGCACACCUUUCCCUGCAGGCAGCGGCAGCCACACAGGCUGAACAUUCCCACUUCUCUUAGCAUUUGCACAUAGGAGAGGUGUUCCAACCCUCCAGUCUUCUUGGUGGCCUCCUUUGGACUCCCUCCAACAAGUCAAUGGUGCUUCCCACGCUGGGGAUGCCAGAGCUGGACACAAUACACAAGGGUGACUCCCUGAAUACAAAAAACGCCUGAAUGGAACUCUGUUUCAGAUGAAGCCAAAUCUUGUCUGGAUUUUCAUCUGGCUCAUUCACAAAAGGAAUGGUUAAAUCAGAUGCACUGCAGGAACAUUUAAUAAAAUAUUUAAGUAAGUACAGUAAA